UUGGCCCUGAAUCAAGGCUAGUGGCUUGUUGUAGCCUCUGGUUUCAAACAGGAGCCCAAAACAGGGUCUUCCUGUGGUCUGUUGGCUGUUUCAUAGUUUUGGACUGGAACAGUCAAUUCAGUUGGAAGCAACAACC
ensembl:snoRNA